rnacentral:rRNA from 1 species
AGGCGGUUUGUCGCGUCUGCCGUGAAAAUUCGAGGCUCAACCUCGAACUUGCGGUGGGUACGGGCAGACUAGAGUGUGGUAGGGGAGACUGGAAUUCCUGGUGUAGCGGUGAAAUGCGCAGAUAUCAGGAGGAACACCGAUGGCGAAGGCAGGUCUCUGGGCCACUACUGACGCUGAGAAGCGAAAGCAUGGGGAGCGAACAGGAUUAGAUACCCUGGUAGUCCAUGCCGUAAACGUUGGGAACUAGGUGUGGGUCUCAUUCCACGAGAUCCGUGCCGCAGCUAACGCAUUAAGUUCCCCGCCUGGGGAGUACGGCCGCAAGGCUAAAACUCAAAGGAAUUGACGGGGGCCCGCACAAGCGGCGGAGCAUGCGGAUUAAUUCGAUGCAACGCGAAGAACCUUACCAAGGCUUGACAUAUGCGAGAACGCGGCAGAGAUGUCGUUCUCUUUGGACACUCGCAUACAGGUGGUGCAUGGUUGUCGUCAGCUCGUGU